GUGUUAGUGAUAUGGACACACACAUACACGUAGGUGAAAUAGUGUGUGUUUUCAUCAGUCACAUGUAAAAGGACAGUGUCACCCAGCCUUCACACACCAGGCCUAUUGUCAGAGCGUCCUUUGAAGAGCUGACGUCAUGGCCUGUGCUAGGAGGGAAGAGGACUGGGCACGGGGCAUGAGCAAGUGGGACUGAGUUAGCAACAUCGAGGAACAACUUAACAACAUCAAAAUGAGUGUCAACACUGUGAGGUUUGCUGUGGGUGUACUUGGUGUCUUUGGAUGGUCUCUGACACUCUCCUCAGCCACCCAAGUGGGUCUGAGCGACAAAGUCCUGGUGUUUCCUUAUGAAACAGACUUUAGCUUUGUGGCCCUGAUCCCGCAGAAGGAGAUGGGGCUGAGGGCCUUCACUCUCUGCAUGCGUGUGGCCACUGAGCUGCCGGAAGAACGUCAGAUCAUCCUGUUCGCCUACCGCACCGCUGACUACGACGAGCUCAACGUAUGGCGUGAGCAAGACGGACGCAUCUCCUUUUACAUGAGCGGUGACGGCACCUUCUUCCACCUGCCGCCCCUUACCACCUUCCGCACCAGCCUCUGCCUGACCUGGGAGUCUCGCACGGGCCUCACUGCUUUCUGGGUGGAAGGGAAACGCAGCACCUACCAGGUCUACAAACCUGGGCACAGCAUCCGUCCAAAAGGCACCGUCCUCCUGGGCCAGGACCCAGACAAACACCUGGGAGGUUUAGAGGCCGUGCAGAGCUUUGUAGGGGAGAUAACAGAUCUGAAUAUGUGGGACUUUGUGCUCUCCAGGAGCAUGAUCCAGGCCUGGCACUAUGGGCACAAGGUCCCCAAGGGCAACAUCUUUGACUGGGGCAAUAUGGAGUAUGAGCUGAACGGUAACGUGAUGGUGGUGGAUGAUGACUGACUCAAUGUAGAGUCGAAUGCAGAGAGGGAUUUAGAGGUCUGUGUUGGACUCAUACUGAUAUGUGUAAUUUUCUUUCUUAGAUACAGUGUUCCUUUAUGUUAGGGCUCUUCAACUGUUCUUCCAUAAAGUCCACAUGUCUCUGUUUCAAUGUUGCAGGAAGAACCUCUUAAUAGGUAAAGGAAAUAGAAAGGAUGACUAUGCUCCUCUAUGUAACCUGUAACUAUCUUCAGCAGCAAAAUGCACCGGCAACAAAAGCCAAUACUUGGUGGUACACAGAAGUCAGUUGUUUUGCAUCAGUAACCAUUUGCUAAAUAGUUUAGGAUCAAUAUCAUUCUUCUAAUGUUUGUGUUUUUUUUAACUAGUCCUUUUUGUAUCUCAAAGCUUCAUCUUUAUACACAAAAUGUUGAUGUGCCAAAUGUAUCCAUAGGGUGGCACUCUGUACUAGUUCAUAUCAAACAGAAACUCUGUCAAGUGAAGCAUUGUCAUGCAUCCUCUAAUGUGAUUUGGCAUAGUUGUGAACUGAGGUUAUAAACGAGGCUACCAAAAAGUGACUAAAAUGUUGCUGCUAUAAGAGCAAAUUUCAACAAAUAAUAUGCAUUUAAAUGAUCAACUGCAAUGUAACUGUAACUUAAAAAUGUACAGGUAAAAAUUGAUUUAAAAAAAUCUUUUUGUCUGAUUUGAACAUAUUGUAACAACAAUAUAUAUAUAUAUAUAUAUAUAUAUAUAUAUAUAAAUUAAACCUGCUAUAAUGCAUGCAAUUAGUACACAUUUGUUUUGUACAAUGCUAUUGAUGAUGAGGAUGUAAAAGGGAAAAUAAAACAGCAAACUGGGAGAUACAUUAAUUCUACUGUAGACUUAAUGAUUUAACUGCACUCAGAGACAAAUAACAAUUAUCAUGUUUAAUAUCCAUCGCCAUAAUGUUGCCUUCGGUUAGUGUACUCACUCAUGAAUUUUCCAUGUUUCGACUGAUGUAAGAAUGCUUUUGGGUCUGAAAUAAAAUCUUGCCAUGUGCAUAACUAAUAAUGUUUGUAAUUAAAGAGAAUAUUUCGUCUUUGAA